CCAAUGUGUAUUAUUACAAACACAACUGCAGGGAUCAGACCGACACGUAGAUCUGUCGUGCAUCCCCCAUCUACCGCUCCGCAGAUACCUGGAAAUGGAAUUGCCCGAUCAAGAGUUCAGUCACAUUGGAUAUACAUAGCAGGAAUGAAGGACCAGUAUCUUCCGGGACUCUCAAGUGGAUGAGCUUCAGAGAUUUCUGUAAUCUUUGGCCACCCUGACUGUCUUCUCCUAUUCCAGUAAAAGAAUCGCUGCAAUGAAGGGUCCUUAGGAAGAAGAGGUGG